rnacentral:rRNA from 1 species
GAUGAACGCUGGCGGCGUGCCUAAUACAUGCAAGUCGAGCGAACAGACGAGGAGCUUGCUCCUUUGACGUUAGCGGCGGACGGGUGAGUAACACGUGGGUAACCUACCUAUAAGACUGGGAUAACUUCGGGAAACCGGAGCUAAUACCGGAUAAUAUUUCGAACCGCAUGGUUCGAUAGUGAAAGAUGGCUUUGCUAUCACUUAUAGAUGGACCUGCGCCGUAUUAGCUAGUUGGUAAGGUAACGGCUUACCAAGGCAACGAUACGUAGCCGACCUGAGAGGGUGAUCGGCCACACUGGAACUGAGACACGGUCCAGACUCCUACGGGAGGCAGCAGUAGGGAAUCUUCCGCAAUGGGCGAAAGCCUGACGGAGCAACGCCGCGUGAGUGAUGAAGGUCUUCGGAUCGUAAAACUCUGUUAUUAGGGAAGAACAAACGUGUAAGUAACUGUGCACGUCUUGACGGUACCUAAUCAGAAAGCUACGGCUAACUACGUG